UACGUAGGGACCGAGCGUUGUCCGGAUUCAUUGGGCGUAAAGGGCUCGUAGGCGGCCAACUAAGUCAGACGUGAAAUCCCUCGGCUUAACCGGGGAACUGCGUCUGAUACUGGAUGGCUUGAGUUUGGGAGAGGGAUGCGGAAUUCCAGGUGUAGCGGUGAAAUGCGUAGAUAUCUGGAGGAACACCGGUGGCGAAGGCGGCAUCCUGGACCAACACUGACGCUGAGUGAGCGAAAGCCAGGGGAGCAAACGGG
rnacentral:rRNA from 1 species